rnacentral:rRNA from 1 species
AGAGUUUGAUCAUGGCUCAGGAUGAACGCUAGCGGCAGGCCUAAUACAUGCAAGUCGGACGGGAUUGGAGAGCUUGCUUUCCAUGAGAGUGGCGCACGGGUGCGUAACACGUAUGUAACCUACCCAUAUCAGGGGGGAUAGCCUCUCGAAAGAGAGAUUAAGCCCGCAUAAAAUCACACACUGGCAUCAGUAAAUGAUCAAAUAUUUAUAGGAUAUGGAUGGGCAUGCGGAACAUUAGCUAGUUGGUAAGGUAACGGCUUACCAAGGCUACGAUGUUUAGGGGAUCUGAGAGGAUGACCCCCCACACUGGUACUGAGACACGGACCAGACUCCUACGGGAGGCAGCAGUAAGGAAUAUUGGUCAAUGGGCGGAAGCCUGAACCAGCCAUGCCGCGUGCAGGAAGACGGCCCUACGGGUUGUAAACUGCUUUUAUACGGGAAUAAACCUACUUACGUGUAAGUAGCUGAAUGUACUGUAAGAAUAAGGAUCGGCUACUCCGUGCCAGCAGCCGCGGUAAUACGGAGGAUCCAAGCGUUAUCCGGAUUUAUUGGGUUUAAAGGGUGCGUAGGCGGCCUAUUAAGUCAGGGGUGAAAGACGGUAGCUUAACUAUCGCAGUGCCCUUGAUACUGAUGGGCUUGAAUGUACUUGAGGUAGGCGGAAUGUGACAAGUAGCGGUGAAAUGCAUAGAUAUGUCACAGAACACCAAUUGCGAAGGCAGCUUACUAAAGUAUGAUUGACGCUGAGGCACGAAAGCGUGGGGAUCAAACAGGAUUAGAUACCCUAGUAGUCC